GACAACCAGAGAGGAAGAUUCAGUGGAAGAAGACAAACGAAGAGGAAAAGGAAAUUGAAAAGAAAGAUUUGCACAAAGCUUUUCUGAUGAUUUUCUUCAAUCUGUUGGAGAUACAAGAUCUGAUAGCUUAAAGCAAGUGCUGGCAAAUUGGCACAAUGAAGAUUUGGUGGAUCUGGAAGAACAACAUGAAGAUCACAGAGCAGUUGUCUGAUCCAAGCAAUGUCUGCAGAUGCAUUAGCAAAAGCUUCGUAUUCAGCUUCAGUAGAGCUUACUGAACUUUGUUUCUUAGACUGCCAUGAGAUGAGAUUAUUGCCUAAGAAAACCACAUAUCUAGUGGUACAUCGUCGUGAGUUGAUCCUGAGUUUGCUUCCAUUACAAAUAUCUAUUAAUGGAAUCCGCACCUUUCCGUAUGGUAUUUAAUAACUCUGUCUUAAGAUGAUUAAGUACGAGAACCUGUAGCAUAGCGAUCUUUGAGAAUAGACCAAGCCUCAUGAGAAUUCUACUACCAACCACAUGCUUAAUAGCUUCGUCAGAAAGAGUGGCAAGAGCAAACUGAGGAAAGCUUUAUCUGUGUACCAUCCAAUCUUUAUAAGAGCCACAGUAAUUUCAUUGGUGCCCCCUUAUUUAACUGUAA